rnacentral:rRNA from 1 species
GAUGAACGCUGGCGGCGUGCCUAAUACAUGCAAGUCGAGCGAACGGACGAGAAGCUUGCGUCGCUGUUGUUAGCGGCGGACGGGUGAGUAACACGUGGAUAACCUACCUAUAAGACUUGGAUAACUUCGGGAAACCGUAGCUAAUACCGUAUAAUAUUUUGAACCGCAUGGGUCAAGAGUGAAAGACGGUCUUGCUGUUACUUAUAGAUGGAUUCGCGCUGCAUUAGCUAGUUGGUAAGGUAACGGCUUACCAAGGCAACGAUGCAGAGCCGACGUGAGAGGGUGAUAGGCCACCCGGGAAGUGAGACACGGUCCCGACUACUACGGGAGGCAGCAGUAGGGAAUCGUCCGCAAUGGGCGAAAGCCUGACGGAGCAACGCCGAGUCAGUGAUGACGGUGCUCGGAUCGGAAAGCUCUGUUAUUAGUGAAGAACAUCUGUGAAAGUAAAUGUGGCGAUCUUGACGGUACCUAAACAGAAAGCACCGGCUAACUACGUG